GAGUUGGAAGCUCAGUGGUAGAGCGCAUGCGUUGUACGUAUGAUGUUCUGGGUUCAAUCCACAGCUUCGGCCCA